UACGUAGGGACCAAGCGUUGUUCGGAUUUACUGGGCGUAAAGGGCGCGUAGGCGGCGCGGUAAGUCACUUGUGAAAUCUCUGAGCUUAACUCAGAACGGCCAAGUGAUACUGCAGUGCUAGAGUGUGGAAGGGGCAAUCGGAAAUUCUUGGUGUAGCGGUGAAAUGCGUAGAUAUCGGGAGGAACACCAAUGGCGAAGGCAGCUCGCUGGGACGGUACUGACGCUGAGACGCGAAAGCGUGGGGAGCAAACAGG
rnacentral:rRNA from 1 species